GGCGAGGCUGCGAACGACGGUGAUUCGUGCGGGUCUCGGCGGAGUGGCCGCACCGCGCGGUGGCCCCGGGCUCGCAGGAAGGGCUCGGAGUGAUAAAGCUGAGGAGAAAUGUGAAGACUUCAGAAGAAGAAGAAGCAGCACAAAAGCAACUUUUGUCAGUCUGCAAUCCGCCAACUCCUUGCAUCUCUUGGUGGACUGAAAUAGAGCCUGCUAGUUAAAUUUCUAAGUUGUGCAUGCUGUAUCCUUAAUGAGACCCACAAAGCAGAUGUGCAUAUGCUAAUAUUGCUAUACUUGGAAAAAGUUACAGAACUUAAUAUUUUCUGUUCCGAAGCAUCCCAUGAAAUAAACUUGACAAUUUGUUUUAUGCUGUCUCUUUGUGGGCAAAUAAAGAUAUAACC